rnacentral:rRNA from 1 species
AUUGAACGCUGGCGGCAGGCUUAACCCCUGCAAGUCGAACGAGUGGCGGACGGGUGAGUAAUGCAUGGGGAUCUAGCUUAUAGAGGGGGAUAACUACGGGAAACUGUAGCUAAUACCGCGUCCCAUAGGAUGAACCCAAAUGGGAUGAGUGAGUAGGUGAGGUAAAGGCUCACCAAGCCGACGAUCUCUUUCUGGUCUGAGAGGAUGACAAGCCACACUGGGACUGAGAAACGGACCAGACUCCGACGGGAGGCAGCAGUGGGGAAUAUGGCGCAAUGGGCGCAACCCUGACGCAGCCAUGCCGCGUGAAUGAAGAAGGCCUGCGGGUUGUAAAGUACUUUCGGUGGCGAGGCGUUAACUACAGAAGAAGCACCGGCUAACUCCGUGCCAGCAGCCGGGGUAAUAC